ensembl:lncRNA
UAAUUUUACUCGCCCGAGCAGAGCUGGUUAGGCUGUUUUCAAGUUAUCCAGAGCGUUGAUGACUGUAACUGUGCUGCUGCCAACAAUUUAAUUACGAUGUUUACUGACAUAUUCAACAGUCUUCAGUAUUGUACUUUGGAAAGAUAAUAAUCUACACCAGCAAUCUGCGGAUCAUCCGGGCCUAUCAGAGUGAAGGAAGGACAUGGAGACAUCCUCAGCUCCCUGGGGGAAUGGGCGAGUACUCACAGGGAGGCCCAAAGCCCUCUGUGCUCACAGGGAGGGGCAGAGCACCGAUCGACCGGACAAGCAAUAUACUGCAUCCAGCUGCCAGCAUUGUGGAGGUUCGGACUGUCCCCUGCUCUUUGUGCCAUGGCAGCUGUCCAUACUGGCCAACCACUUCAACGAGUCUAUCAGUGUGCUGUGAUGCCAGUCCUGCUACACUGAUGGACUGGAGAGGUGCCAGUCCUGUACCAAAUGACACUAACCACUGGCUGUGUGUGCCAAUGGUACUGCUGCAAUGAGAUAAUAUCACUGUAAUACAAAAUGCUUAUGAUGGGUAUGGGAGCACUGUGUAUGUUUUUGUAAGGAAUCAGAAUUCAAUUUUUGGAAAGGAAGGAUCCUAC